UGGGGAAUAUUGCACAAUGGGCGCAAGCCUGAUGCAGCCAUGCCGCGUGUGUGAAGAAGGCCUUCGGGUUGUAAAGCACUUUCAGCGGGGAGGAAGGCGAUAAGGUUAAUAACCUUGUCGAUUGACGUUACCCGCAGAAGAAGCACCGGCUAACUCCGUGCCAGCAGCCGCGGUAAUACGGAGGGUGCAAGCGUUAAUCGGAAUUACUGGGCGUAAAGCGCACGCAGGCGGUCUGUCAAGUCGGAUGUGAAAUCCCCGGGCUCAACCUGGGAACUGCAUUCGAAACUGGCAGGAUAGAGGCUUGUAGAGGGGGGUAGAAUUCCAGGUGUAGCGGUGAAAUGCGUAGAGAUCUGGAGGAAUACCGGUGGCGAAGGCGGCCCCCUGGACAAAGACUGACGCUCAGGUGCGAAAGCGUGGGGAGCAAACAGG
rnacentral:rRNA from 1 species